UCCCCAAAACCCCUGCUGCCCCCGCGCUGCUAACGGCGGUGUCUGGCCGGGAAGAAGUAAAGCCUGUAAGGCUAUUUUUCCCUCCAUGGACGCUGCUGUGUGGCAGUGGGAGUCCCAAAGGCAGGAGUUCUCCACACAGAACAACCAGGCUGAUUGAGGCACACACCGACGUGGAGACAGUGUUAAUGGGUUGGAAUGCACCUUUUCCAAUCUGCUGCCUUGUGCUUCCCGCUAGACGAGGUUGGUCAAGGCUGUGUCCCUGGCUUUGAACAGCUCCACGAUGGUGCAUCCACAAACCUCCCUGUGCAGCGUGUGCCAGUGCCUCAAACCCCUCACAGCAACAAACAUUUCCUCCUAAUGUCCAGCCUAAAUUACCUCUCCUUCAAAUUGUACAACUGCUGGUGAAGAAUCCCCCCCCAGCUCGCCUGUGGCCUCCUUCAGAUAGCGGGAUGUGCUGUGAGGGCUCCACAGAACCAAACACCAUGAUGGGUUUGUGCCAGCACGGUGCUUCCCCUCACGGCUUCCCAUCUUGCUCGGACACAGUGGGAAUGCUGCUUUUUCCUUGUCCCCAUUGUGCUGUGAGGGCUCCACAGAAGCAAACACCAUGAUGGGUGUGUGCCAGCACGGUGCUUCCCCUCACGGCUUCCCAUCUUGCUCGGGACACAGUGGGAAUGCUGCUUUUUCCUUGCCCCCCUUGUCACAGGGCAGCAGCCAGGUAUCCCAAAUGAGCAGCGAUUAAAAGUAUAAUUAAGAACAGCCUGCAUUCCCUUGCUGUCUUCCCAGCCUCUUACUCCUGCCUUGCCCCUUGCACUGGAAAAACAAACUAACCCAGAGGAAAAAAAAAAUAAUAAAAAGGCAAGCAAUGUUUUCCUGACUGGAUCAACAAACUGAACCAGCUCAGCUGAGGGGCAGAGCAGAUCCCUUGUGGGCUCCCCAGGACUGGGCAGAGCAGCCAGACCAGCUCCCCUCUUCAUCCAAGCCCACACUCAAGGCCUGCUGGAGCUGCCAGAAGGGCCCUUGAUGAUGCUUCCCACAGCCUGGGGAGUUGGGCAUCCCCUGUGGCCUCAGAUAACACAAACUGAUCCCAUCUAAGGAGCUUGGCCUCUGCCCAGCUUGCCCUGUUCCCUGUGGGGCCUUCCAGGUAUGGCCCUUCAUCAGAGGGCACACAUGGUUUUACCUUAUUAGGUCCUUACCUACACGUUCAUUUUUCAAGGACCAGGCUUGUUGAUAACAUUUAAGAUUUACUUGCAGCAUAGAGGUUAGGAGGAAGUGGAUCUGUUCUGUUUCUCUUUGCCAGGCUAUACCAAACAGCAUAACACACAUUUCUCCUUUCCUUAUAAGACCCUUUUAAAAGUCCAGCUAAGAAACCCCAGUUCCCGUGAAUUUUCUUCACAAACCACAUCAGGAGAACUUGAUGCUUACACAGGGCUUUUCCCCCUCCACAAAAGUUUCAUUUGAAGCCUCUGCUAUCACCUCCAUCGGGAGCCAGGUUCUUAGGUAAUUCCCAAACUGGAGCCAGGUGCACCCAGCCUGAAUCAACGAGCAGAAAGCCACCCCCAAUUUUGGCCAGACUAAACAAGCAACCUUUACUCUGGCCCUAAAGCCACCUUGCCUAGGCAGGGCUCAGUGCACUGCCCUUAUCUCAUGAGUGCACAUAAAGUGUCGACGAGGCACCUUAACCUUCCAACCAGCAGCCAGCUACUAACAUGGGAAAACACACACCAAAAAAAGGAGCUUUGUGAAGGAUAUUUAAAAGGCGGUUAAGUAAGACUGUCUGGAACAGGAGAGCUAUUUCAGCAGGCAGGGUGUUUUUCUUCUGGGAGCUGAAGGACAGGGAAAAGGAAGGAGCAACUUGGAUCUAGCAGGUUCUACCCCCAAUCUGUUAUCAUUUCAGGCUAGCCCAGGUUUUCCUGGAGUUUUGCCAAUUCCCAUUGAUUUGGGACAAUUUUUUCUCUCUCUCAAGCACACUGCUUAUAAUAUUUGGCAUUAACAAACUGUCUCCAUGACUUAGCUUUCCUGGUCUUGCCAUACUACCUGCUAGUUCCCUCACUUAAAAAUGGAAUUAAACAAAAUAAAGCGGCAUCAAGAGUUGAAGCACCAGCUGUCUGCUGUGAAUGUUUGGAAGAGUGGGAAACUCCAAAGGAUGCCUCAGCCUGUUGGGACCAGGACCAGCUCCCAGAUAUGACACCGGCACUGAGGGCAGGAGCUGCAGCCACUGCCUGCCUACCACCUUCUGCUUCUGCUGAGAGCUGGGGUUUUUCCUGAAGAUGAACCUCCCAGAUAAGGUACCAGAUGAGGCUUCUUAGGAAGGAUCAUGCCUUGUCUGUGGUGACAUACAGCUGAGUCACUUGGCUGCAGCUGAGGGAGAAGCAGGCCUCCCCCAGCCUCAGCUUGGUUUUUAGCCCCAUUUUCUGGGAGGCAUGUGCUCUGAGUGGAGAAAGUGAGUAGGAAGAGCUCGGCAAGCUGCAGCCAAGCGAGGGACUUUCCUGCACACGAGUCACUUCCCAGCUGCCUCCCCUUCCAACCAGUUGGACUGGGCCAGCACCAGAGCCCGGCUGGUUUUGAUGCUCAGUUUUGUCGUGCCUACAGCACACAAAUUCCUCCCGCGUCACCUCGCCCUCCUGGCGCCCAGUUCUGCGCUUUGCAUAAGUGGGGCACGUGAGGAAUCUCUGUUUGGCAAUCCCUGGAGGCCAGCCAGAGGCCCCUGCAGGCUCUGCUUUUGCAGCUGCAGCCAGCUCUGCAGGAGAAGUGUUCUCUUUGCAAAAGGAAAAAAAACCAAAACAAGUGAAAUAAAUAAAGAGAGGCAUUUUCCACAGCAGCCUGCCUUUCAGACUCUUUUGCAUUUCCACUCAGACUGCAGCAGGAGGAGGAGAAGAAGCAAAGCCAGCCACAAAUUACAGCCUGACAGCCUCGUGCAGAGCCUUGAACACGUUUGAAGUUUGUUCCAGCCCAAGAGCUGCCUCCCUGUGAUUCACCAAAUGGUUUGGCUUGCGGGUCCUGCUGGAGUGGAGACAGACACCCACACCCACCCACCCCUCACCACUAGGCUGCAGAGAAACAGCUCCUGCUCUGACAUUCUUCCCAGAGCAGAAAGCAUCAGAGCAUUUUCCAAAUGGGAUGGCAGUGCUGCAGGGGCUGCAUCCAAGGGCAGAGCUGCAGCCCAGCAACACUGGCAGCAGCCAGGGCACAUGGGACCUGUCCCACUCCUCCCAGCACACACACACAAAAAAGAAACAACAUAAAAAACAUCCCUGACCCACAGAAACAGAUGGUUUUUGACUGGAUCAGCGGCCUGAAUCAGCCCAGGGUGCAGAGAGCGGCACAUGAUGAGCCAGCUGGGCUGUAAGAGCAAGACUACAGCAGCUUCAAACUGAAAGAGAGCAGCUUUAGGUUUCCUCAGCAUUUUAGGUGCUACUUACUGGGAUUAGACUCCUGUUUCAAGGCAAACCAUAUCCCAAGGCAGCUGAUACUCCAAACCAAGUAGAUCAACACAAAGAGCAUCAGCAGCCAUGAAGGCUUUGCCCUCAUGAAUCAGCUCUAGCAAGAUCUGGAACAGCAACAGAGUUGCCAGAAAAGCAGAUGAUUCCUCCCAAAUACAAGGGAAUCAACAGUGCAGCACCAGCUCAUCAAUGUUUUAAAGGAUAUGCACCAAGAUGCAGAAUUCUGUUCCUGCUCCCAUUGUGUCAUCUUGUCAGGGUCAUAAGCAGUAAGAUUGCAGCCAGAUAAAUCUCUGCCACAACCUUUGAAGCAGGGUUUCUUUUUAUAAAUGUAAAGUAAUAUGUUUCUCUAAAUACUAUUGAACCCAACCCCCAAAAAAUUUAGAACUAUACAUCUAGGUUAUCCAUAAAGAAAACAAAUGAAAAUGUGUAAUACAUUUUAAAAUAUAUUUCAAUACAAAUAUAUAAAACAAAAAAUAUAUAGAAAAUAGGGGGCUACGUUCCUUUCAUUAGGUCCUUGCUUUGCAGGUUUUUGAGGAUUACACUUAGAAGCUUUUUUUUGUUUUACACUUAGGGCUUUUUCAGCAGUGGAGGUCAUGGCCAUCCAGUGUUUUCCAUCUGCUGUGACUCACUUGGGCUCACACAGAAGUGAUUAGAAAAUCAUGGGACUCCAGGAGCUACAGCUUUAAGGAAAAGCACAAAGAAUUACAGCUUCUGCAGGAAAAAUAAGAGUUGGCAGAGAACAGCUACAAAGGCUGCUGUAAGGAACUGGGCUGAGAAAAAACACCCACCCCCCCCAACUUUCUUCACACAAUUUCCUUCUCUGUUCAAAUACUUGCUUUCUCUUCCCUCAUUAUCCAAAGCAAAAAGGAAGGCACUAAAUAUUGAGGAAGAAGGUAUAAAACCAAAGAGUUUAGACUGGAAAUAAAAGCCCCAGUAAGCUGUCCUCAAAAUGGAAAUCCAAAACUCUGGAUGAGCUAAGAGCUGGUGUGUAAGAAAGAGAAAAGGAAUAGAACAGGAAGAUCAUGUAGUUUAAUAUCUUAAUAAACAGCCUGAUAAGUCAGGCAGGGAUUGCUCCUUUCCUGCUCACUGGAUUGUGUGCUAUUGCAAGGUCUACAGUUCUUUUUUAGGUCACAAAAAGCAUCAGGCAGCACCUCCUCACAUGUGAUCUCACCUCAGCUGCAUGCUCAGGGGCCAGGACUUUUGAGGCAGGCUGUGGAUUUCAGUGAAUUGGCAGCAGCAGCCAAUCGCUGUGGCCAAAUUAAACCCAACGGGUUGGGAUUAAUCAAAGUCACGAGGCCACAGUGGGGAAGUGGCAAGUGCAGCUGCUGUGGCUUCCACCACGAGGCUUUGCUUCAUCAUACCAGUGGAUACAACCCACACCCAGAGUCGUGGGCAUCUGAAUAGCUGCCCU